GCAUAGGCGAGGGGGCGCCGUUUGCGCGACUAGUAAUGGGGUCAAUUCUUGUGUAUAUUGAAAUUUAUAGACAAAAUCAAAUACACACGGGGAAUCCUCCUGCGAGCGGAAUGCGGAGGCGCAGCGAUGCGAGAGAGAAAAACACUGCUGCUUGCUGUCUCGCACGUAUGCUGCUGCCGGCCAGGAAGGGGAGGAAGUUCAGGCCCACUCGGAGCAUACUUGAUGCGGUGCCGCCAGGGCCGACGCCGACUGCGGGACGGCGACGGUCUUCCGGCGGACAGCGGUGCCGCCGAAACUGGUACGCGGCGCUGCGGCCCCGUCCUCCACGACGGCGGCGACCGACGAGAGCGGUCGCGGCCGGCCCGUACACCGGCGGCUGCAACGGGCGACCGGGAGACCAAUAGCAUGGUGUCAAUCCUUGAAUGUAUAUUCUCUCUUUAUGCGCCAAAAGGUUGUUUAUUUUGGUAUUAUCCACAAAUGAACAUUUUUUUCAUGAACUUCCGCAGGGAGACUUGAUAGCACGUUGUGCAUCCAUGAAUAUAUUCUCUCGCUCUCUUUUGCACGGAGCAGUGAACACAGACAAUCUGAUAUAUGUAUAAGCUGGCAGGCAAGUCAUGGCCCAUGGAAGUUCAAAGCGUAGCAAUCAAUCUCUUUAGUUUUGUUGCACUUGAACAUUUCCAUAGUUAGGUCAGAAGACAGUUCCCUGGCAAGCAUUACCCUUGUUGCAACAUGGAAGCGUUUCUGCACAUCUACCUUCCCCUGGCCUCUAUGGCUACCCAGUUUCCACAUAUGUGUUAGUGUUAUUGUUGUUGGGAACAAUGUCUUUCAUAUUGUACAUGCACCAUACAGAUAAAAUGCAGAGCUCUCAUCACAUGUUCCCCAUGUUUA